rnacentral:snoRNA from 1 species
CUAAGCUUAAUGAUGAUAAUUCUUUUGACUGAAUUUAAUGAAGAUAUUAUUAAUUCGAAAUUAGUCUUUCACCCCUAUCUGAACGCUUUU